AGCUGCCCUAUAAGACCGAGGACCUGGUCCAGAGGAUGUUGAAAGGGGUCCCUACAGACCGGAUCUCGGCGCAGGACUCUCUGCAGCACCCGUACUUCAGCACGCUGCCUCCUCCCAUCAUGCACCUCAGAGACACCGUGUCCAUUUUCAAGGUGCCCGGCGUUCGUCUGGAGACGGAGGUCAGAGACAUCUUCAACCCGGGACGGAGGGUCAAGCCGUCCCUGCUGCCCUCGGCCAAGUGCUGGUGAACAGCCCUCAGAUUGGCUGCGAGUGCAGAGCUGAUGGUUGCUCACAUGUAAAUCUGAUUUAAUCUCCGUAUUAGUUGAUUUAAAUAUAAAAUGUUCCCUUCAUGAGGUUUAGUCCUUCAGGACGUCCUGUUAGCAUUCGUUAGCAUUCGUUAGCAGCGCUGCUGCAGAUUCAUCAGGAUUUAUUCAUGUGUUCUGGCUGAUGAAGUCCCCUGAAACUGUUCAUGAAUAAUGAGUGAAUCUUUAUUUGUUCUUGUACCAAAGCUCCCUGUUGACAAUAAAGCUGCUUCCUCUGUCUCCA